rnacentral:rRNA from 1 species
UGAAUACGAGACGCUAAGGCGUCGAAGUAGUGUAUGUCAUACUUCCAAGAAAAGCUUGCACUGUCAUAGAUAAAAAACGCCUGUACCAUAACCGACACAGGUGGGUAGGUAGAGUAUACUAAGGGGCGCGAGAUAACUCUCUCUAAGGAACUCGGCAAAAUAACUCCGUAACUUCGGGAGAAGGAGUGCCUUAUUCGUAAGGUUGCAAUAACAAGAUCCAAGCAACUGUUUAUCAAAAACACAGGUCUCCGCUAAGUCGUAAGACGAUGUAUGGGGGCUGACGCCUGCCCAGUGCCAGAAGGUUAAAGAAGUUGGUUAGCAAUUGCGAAGCUGAUAACUGAAGCCCUGGUGAACGGCGGCCGUAACGAUAACGGUCCUAAGGUAGCGAAAUUCCUUGUCGGGUAAGUUCCGACCCGCACGAAAGGCGUAAUGAUUUGGAUACUGUCUCGGAGAGGGGCUCGGUGAAAUAGACUUGUCUGUGAAGAUGCGGACUACCUGCACCAGGACAGAAAGACCCUAUGAAGCUUUACUGUAACUUGAAAUUGAAAUUGGACUUUAUUCGCGCAGUAUAGGUGGGAGGCGUUGAUUAUAAUCUUGUGGGAUUAUUGGAGCCAUCAGUGAGAUACCACUCUUGUAAUGUUAGAUUUCUAACUUUGAAUCAUUAUCUGGUCAAAGAACAGUUUCAGGCGGGCAGUUUGACUGGGGCGGUCGCCUCCUAAACGGUAACGGAGGCGUACAAAGGUUUCCUCUGAACGGUUAGAAAUCGUAUCUAGAGUGUAAAGGCAUAAGGAAGCUUGACUGUGAGACCUACAAGUCGAGCAGGGACGAAAGUCGGUCUUAGUGAUCUGACGGUACUGAGUGGAAAGGCCGUCACUCAACGGAUAAAAGUUACUCUAGGAUAACAGGCUGAUCUCCCCCAAGAGUUCACAUCGACGGGGAGGUUUGGCACCUCGAUGUCGGCUCAUCGCAUCCUGGGGCGGUAGUACGUCCCAAGGGUUGGGCUGUUCGCCCAUGAAAGCGGUACGCGAGCUGGGUUCAGAACGUCGUGAGACAGUUCGGUCCAUAUCCGGUGUAGGCGUUAGAAUAUUGAGAGGAGCCUUCUUUAGUACGAGAGGGCCGAGAAGGACAUACCUCUGGUGUACCAGUUAUCGUACCAACGGUAAACGCUGGGUAGCUAUGUAUGGAGUGGAUAACCGCUGAAAGCAUCUAAGUGGGAAGCCCACCUCAAGAUAAG